rnacentral:tRNA from 1 species
UCCCUGGUGGCUCAGAUGGUAAGGAAUCUGCCUGUAAUGCAGGAGACCUGGGUUCGAUCCCCAGGUUGGGAA